rnacentral:rRNA from 1 species
GACAGAGGUGGCAAGCGUUGAUCGGAAUUACUGGGCUUAAAGGGCGAGUAGGCGGUGAGACAAGUCCGAGGUGGAAUCCUCUGGCUUAACCAGAGAACUGCCUUAGAUACUGUUUCACUUGAGUCAGUGAGGGGAGGGCGGAAUUCCCGGUGUAGCGGUGAAAUGCGUAGAUAUCGGGAGGAAGGCCAGUGGCGAAGGCGGCCCUCUGGCGCUGAACUGACGCUGAGGCGCGAAAGCGUGGGUAGCAAACAGG